UAGGUAUUCAUUAGUAUGAUAUUGUUUGUUUCUGUUUGUGUAUGUACGUAUGUUUGAGUAGAACAUGAUUUGUGUCUAACCUGCUGUGCUCUAUAACAGGCUGCUUGUGGACCUGAACUGCCCCUUGUUCACCCCUGACCCUGUCAACCUGGACAGGAAGUACAUUGUGGAGAACAUUGAGAGCAAGCACCGACAGUUCAUCACCGAGACGAUGCACUGUCUCACCGAACUCAAGAGAGAGCUCUUGACAAGUCCGUUGACUCUGGACACUAACUCCGCCCAUCCUCUCUUGAGCAUUUCUGAUGGCCUGCGGUCAGCUAUGCGGGUCAAACACCGCCUUCCGUGUGCCACUCACCCCGACCGCUUCGAUCACUGGGCUCAAGUCCUGACUGUCCAGACAUUCUCCUCUGGAACCCAUUACUGGGAGCUGGAGGCAGAAGGCUUCUGGGACAUUGCGGUGUCCUACCGGAGCAUCGGGCGGAAGGGGAAGGUGGGCAAUGCCUUUGGAAAUAACAAGAUGUCUUGGAGCUUGACACAGCAGCAUGAUAGAAAGCUAGCCGCCUGGCACAACCGCAGGAAGACACGCAUCUCCAGUCGAAUGUCGGGCAACCGUGUUGGCGUGGCCCUGGACUAUGGCGCAGGCACCAUCACCUUCUCCGAGGUGGGGCCAUCCAACACCCUGACCCACCUGCACAACUUCACCACCUCCUUCAGCCAGCCCGUGUGCCUGGGCUUUGGCCUCUACAAAGCUGAACUCCAUAGCAGAAUCUCCAUAGUGAGGGUGUGAGAGAUCAUCAGGAACCAGAGAAUUAGAAUGGGGUGGGAGCUCAAGGAUAGAUACAUUGUGGGAGGUUUCCUUCUGGAACAUCUCCCGGGACCUCAUGAGGGAUUGAACGAUGAACAAUAGAGCUUGUGUGAGCAUGACAAAUGGUAAGACUACAUUCUUACAGAGCUCAGGACUCAAAGUACUAUGAACUAUGACUUUGAAUCAGUAAGGAAUGGAUGUGUAUGUCCCACUUUUGUCACAGUUUGGGGGAAUUUGAAAGACCCAAGCAACUUGGACCCAAGAGAGAGUUUUAAUAAAAUACAUCCAAACUACAGGACAAUAUUCUAAAGAAAAUGUAACAUUCAGUGGAUAGUUCUAGAUUCUUGUGAUGUAACAUAGCUAUGGGGUCCCUUUUCCUUUUCUGAGUUUGUUUAGACUAUUUGUUAUGCAUAUAAUAAUCAAAAUGGGUUCUUUGGGGCACUCAUGUACCAAGCUAAAUAACCCAAAUAGUGUUGAGAAAAAAGAGAUGGAAGGUGUGUGGACUGAACCAUAUUGUAGUAUAGAUAACAGAAUCAUCAGGCAUUAGAAUCUUUCACAAAAGUGAAAUUAUGUAGGCCAUUAUAUUGAAAGGGAUUCGCUGGAAGAUGCUCAAGGUAGAUUCACAUGCUUUAAAUCAAUGUCAUAGUUCGUGUCAGACUAAACAAUGUCACAAAAUUACCUUCAACAUUAAAACAUCUCAGAUGCAAUACUUGCACUGCCACUUUUCAUUGUUAGAGAGAAAAUGAGUAGGUGGGUGAGUGACAGAGAAUUAAAGAGUGAGAGAGAGAGAGAGAGAGAGAGAGAGAGAGAGAGAGAGGGAGAGAGAUUAUAACACAGUGGGUCCUCUGGCAUGGCCAUUUAGAUGCCUGUUUCAAAGGGAGGUCUCUGUGAUCCUGUAGAAUGUGAGAGAACAGAGUAGAAAGUGGUUAUGAGGAAUAUGUGACUAUCACUCCAUCUCCAAGGAGCAAAAUUGUACUUCACCCGAUAUGGAAAAUAAGGACGACACCUUUCAAACUGAAACAGGUCCUGUGUGAUGAUGCAGUAGAUUGGAACGCACACAAACGUCUAUUUGCCCAUGCUAUCCUGCCACCUACUGCCACUGUUGCAAACCAGCACAGAAUCACAGGAGAGAUAUCCAUGAGAACAGAGUGAGAGAGAUAGAGGGAGGGAAGGACAGACAGAUAGUGUGGGGUAACUGUAUGUUGACUUCGUCGACUUCUGCUGAACACUGAUAACUCAAAACCCUCCUGGUUGUCAGUCUGUGAGUCCCGAGAUAAUAUUUAGCGUUUUAAAUCUAUUUAGCCUGGGCAUAUUUAUCUAUGUCUGUAAUCUUUCAAAGUGACUCUCCUCCAUACUAGAAUUAAUAACAGAUAUACAAUCAAAACAAAGACAGUUUAAAGCAUGUAUCCCAGGGUGGUUCGUUCAUCCACCUUAGAGCCCACAGUGUUGUUGGGGCUGCUGCUCCUAUGGGGGCCUCUAGGGGCCCAGGCCCAGAAUGACACUGAGCCUAUAGUCCUGGAAGGAAAGUGUUUGGUGAUCUGUGACUCCACUCCCAACUCUGAGCCAGCGGGAAAUGCCCUGGGCAUGUCAGUACGCUCAGGCACUGGCCGGGUGGCCUUCUCUGCCACCCGCCAGACAAACCACGAGCCCACAGACAUGAGCAACCGCACCAUGAUCAUCUAUUUCGACCAGGUGAGCAAAUUCGAAAUUAAUAUUGACCAUAUAAAGUAGUACAUCAACAGGUGAAGUUGACCAAUGAUUUCUUAUUCAUUAAUUAUCUUUGACUGAUUUGUUUCUCUUUGAUUGAUCAUUGAUGAAUGAUUGAUUUCUAUACCCCAUCACUCCCUAUCUCUCUUAUCCUCCUGUGUUCAUUCUCUCCCUUUCUCUUCUUACCUCAGAUCCUGGUGAAUGUGGGCAAUCACUUUGACCAGGAGAGCAGUGUCUUCCUAGCCCCCAGGAGGGGAGUCUACAGCUUCAACUUCCAUGUAGUGAAGGCCUACAACAGACAAACUAUCCAGGUUAGUCUGAUGUUGAAUGGGUGGCCAAUGAUCUCAGCCUUCGCUGGGGACAUGGAUGUGACGCGGGAGGCAGCCACCAACGCAGGCCUAGUGAUCAUGGAGAGAGGAGACAAGGCCUACCUCAAACUAGAGAGGGGAAACCUGAUGGGUGGCUGGAAGUAUUCCACCUUCUCCGGGUUCUUGGUUUUCCCCCUAUAGGGAGACAGCCUGCAUGAUGGAGAGGACAGAGGGAAAAGAUGGAGAGAAAGAGGAAUGGGGAGGGACAAGGGUGAGACUGAAAAAUUAAUAUAAUUUAAUGUCUGAGAGAAACAAUAAAAGAUGAGGGGUGGAGGGAAACACAAAGACAGAAUUUGCAUGGUAGAUAUGUGAAUUGUCUCAUGUGUUCAGCUUGUGUGUAACUUGUCCUUCAGGGUAGAGGAGAGACUAUUUUUGUUCAGACACCAGAGUUGAUGCGCACUAUGGCACAAAAAUGGCAAUGUGCAAUCAAUUUGUAGUAUCUUUUUCAUUUACACUUUUAAACAUAACAAGAAAAGUAAAUCCUGUAGCCCCUUAAAAUAUGGCAAGACCCGAUUACAACAUUUCAUUGACUUUUGAAUCUCUGGCAUUUUUGCCUACCAUUCUGGCUAGCCACCCUGGCUUACUGCAUUGUUCAACCUGCUUGUCCCAUAACUAAUUAUAUUCCCUAUUUGCCAGUAUGUGUUUUGCAGUGUGCACACCUCUUAGGAAGAUUUAUAUAAACAGGUCAUAUUAAAAUGAAUAUAUACAUGAA